UACGUAGGGUGCAAGCGUUAAUCGGAAUUACUGGGCGUAAAGCGUGCGCAGGCGGUUUUGUAGGUCUGUCGUGAAAGCCCCGGGCUCAACCUGGGAAUUGCGAUGGAGACUGCAGGGCUUGAAUCUGGCAGAGGGGGGUAGAAUUCCACGUGUAGCAGUGAAAUGCGUAGAGAUCUGGAGGAACACCGAUGGCGAAGGCAGCCCCCUGGGCUAACACUGACGCUCAUGCACGAAAGCGUGGGGAGCAAACAGG
rnacentral:rRNA from 1 species